GGGUUGUGAGGUUAAGCGACUAAGCGUACACGGUGGAUGCCCUGGCAGUCAGAGGCGAUGAAGGGCGUGCUAAUCUGCGAUAAGCGCCGGUAAGGUGAUAUGAACCGUUAUAACCGGCGAUACCCGAAUGGGGAAACCCAGUGUGACUCGUCACACUAUCAUUAACUGAAUCCAUAGGUUAAUGAGGCGAACCGGGGGAACUGAAACAUCUAAGUACCCCGAGGAAAAGAAAUCAACCGAGAUUCCCCCAGUAGCGGCGAGCGAACGGGGAGGAGCCCAGAGCCUGAAUCAGCAUGUGUGUUAGUGGAAGCGUCUGGAAAGGCGCGCGAUACAGGGUGACAGCCCCGUACACAAAAGCGCAUGUGCUGUGAGCUCGAUGAGUAGGGCGGGACACGUGGUAUCCUGUCUGAAUAUGGGGGGACCAUCCUCCAAGGCUAAAUACUCCUGACUGACCGAUAGUGAACCAGUACCGUGAGGGAAAGGCGAAAAGAACCCCGGCGAGGGGAGUGAAAAAGAACCUGAAACCGUGUACGUACAAGCAGUGGGAGCCCCACCACCAAAGCAUUCUCUGGUGUUGAAGGCCCUGCAAAGCAGCAUCGCGGUGGCGGAGCGUCGUUUGCGACGCCCAACACACAAAACAAGCGGUGAGUGCUUUGGGGUGGGGUGACUGCGUACCUUUUGUAUAAUGGGUCAGCGACUUAUAUUCUGUAGCAAGGUUAACCGAAUAGGGGAGCCGGAGGGAAACCGAGUCUUAAUUGGGCGUUAAGUUGCAGGGUAUAGACCCGAAACCCGGUGAUCUAGCCAUGGGCAGGUUGAAGGUUGGGUAACACUAACUGGAGGACCGAACCGACUAAUGUUGAAAAAUUAGCGGAUGACCUGUGGCUGGGGGUGAAAGGCCAAUCAAACCGGGAGAUAGCUGGUUCUCCCCGAAAGCUAUUUAGGUAGCGCCUCGUGAAUUCAUCUCCGGGGGUAGAGCACUGUUUCGGCUAGGGGGCCAUCCCGGCUUACCAACCCGAUGCAAACUGCGAAUACCGGAGAAUGUUAUCACGGGAGACACACGGCGGGUGCUAACGUCCGUCGUGAAGAGGGAAACAACCCAGACCGCCAGCUAAGGUCCCAAAGUCAUGGUUAAGUGGGAAACGAUGUGGGAAGGCCCAGACAGCCAGGAUGUUGGCUUAGAAGCAGCCAUCAUUUAAAGAAAGCGUAAUAGCUCACUGGUCGAGUCGGCCUGCGCGGAAGAUGUAACGGGGCUAAACCAUGCACCGAAGCUGCGGCAGCGACGCUGAUGCGUUGUUGGGUAGGGGAGCGUUCUGUAAGCCUG
rnacentral:rRNA from 2 species